GUAUAAAGAGGUCUAGAUGUUGAGAAUUUGUGAUUAAUUCAGGUUAUCUACGAUGAGUAAUGUUAAUGAAGAUAGUGAUUGUAGCACAGACAAAAUGUAAACAAGCAUGUGGUUCAAUGAAUGGACUAAUUGUCAUUUCUUGAGGACUCUGUGGAGAAGGACAUUGUUCGGGUUCAUCUAAAGGACACAAUAAAGGCUCCUCAAAAGGAAAAGCUUAAGCUUUCUCAAAUGGACACGACUCAGGUUCCUCAUCUCCAGGGUCAAAGUCUUCUUCCAUACUCGUCAACUGGAAACAAGGAUUCUUUUGGAUCAAAAGGACACAUGGAGAUAAUUCUUAUGGAUCAAAAGGGGGAUGUCAUACCUACAAUGACUAAGAAGAAAGAUAUUGAAAUAUGACAAGACAAGCUCACAGAGGGGAACACUAAUAUAAUGCAUAAUUUCAAGAUUUUGAAGAACAAAUCUCAAUUUAGAGUUUGUGACCACCCAUUUAAGUUAUUGUUCAUAAGAGUCACCUCUGUACGGCCACAACCCAUUGUAAAUGUACCUAUGAAGGUUUUCAAGUUCAAAAGUAUCAAAUAAAUU